GUCCUUGUAGUAUAAACUAUUACCAUGGUCUUGUAAACCAUAAAUGGAUCUAACCCUCCCCAGGACA
rnacentral:tRNA from 1 species